rnacentral:rRNA from 1 species
CCUACGGGUGGCUGCAGUGGGGAAUAUUGCACAAUGGGGGAAACCCUGAUGCAGCGACGCCGCGUGAGGGAUGACGGCCUUCGGGUUGUAAACCUCUUUCAGUAGGGAAGAAGCCUUCGGGUGACGGUACCUGCAGAAGAAGUACCGGCUAACUACGUGCCAGCAGCCGCGGUAAUACGUAGGGUACAAGCGUUGUCCGGAAUUAUUGGGCGUAAAGAGCUCGUAGGCGGUUCGUCGCGUCUGCUGUGGAAACGCAAGGCUCAACCUUGCGCGUGCAGUGGGUACGGGCGGACUAGAGUGCAGUAGGGGAGUCUGGAAUUCCUGGUGUAGCGGUGAAAUGCGCAGAUAUCAGGAGGAACACCGGUGGCGAAGGCGGGACUCUGGGCUGUAACUGACGCUGAGGAGCGAAAGCAUGGGGAGCGAACAGGAUU